CCUACGGGAUGCAGCAGUGAGGAAUAUUGGUCAAUGGACGCAAGUCUGAACCAGCCAAGCCGCGUGCAGGAAGACGGCUCUAUGAGUUGUAAACUGCUUUUGUACGGGGGUAAACUCAAAUACGUGUAUCUGUCUGAAAGUAUCGUACGAAUAAGGCUACGCUAACUCCGUUCCAGCAGCCGCGGUAAUACGGAGGAUCCAAGCGUUAGCCGGAUUUAUUGGGUGUAAAGGGUGCGUAGGCGGACGGAUAAGUUAGAGGUGAAAUCCCGAGGCUCAACUUCGGAAUUGCCUUUGAUACUGUUCGUCUAGAGAGUAGCUGCGGUAGGCGGAAUGUAUGGUGUAGCGGUGAAAUGCUUAGAGAUCAUACAGAACACCGAUUGCGAAGGCAGCUUACCAAGCUACUUCUGACGUUGAGGCACGAAAGCGUGGGGAGCAAACAGGAUUAGAUACCCGGGUAGUC
rnacentral:rRNA from 1 species